UGCCACCCAGCCUGCUCCCGUGAA
rnacentral:misc_RNA from 1 species